CUGGGAUUGUUCAGGAGAGGAGGC
rnacentral:piRNA from 1 species